rnacentral:tmRNA from 1 species
GGGGGCGACAUGGUUUCGACGGGGCCCAUGUCUGAGUUCGGGUAGCGAGCCGAGAUCCCGGCCGUUCUCGUUAAACAGGCUGGAAAAAACAACUGCCAAACCUGAGUUGGCUCUGGCCGCUUAGUCUGAGUAAGACUUAAGCGCCUGUCGCGCCUCUCGCGCCUGCCGGAGAGGGUCGCGGCAUAAACCAGGCGGGCUUGCUCUCGGCGUUUGCCAUCGUCGCCGGGAGGACACUCAGGUGGCUGGCCGAGCGCACCUAGCUCUUACGGGGGCGUGAGGCGAGACUUGUGGUAAGGGCUACGCUCGUAGAGGCCCGGGCCGGACGGGUUUCGGACGGGGGUUCGAUUCCCCCCGCCUCCACCU